rnacentral:rRNA from 1 species
UACGUAGGGGGCAAGCGUUAUCCGGAUUUACUGGGUGUAAAGGGGGCGCAGACGGCGAUGCAAGCCAGGAGUGAAAGCCCGGGGCCCUACCCCGGGACUGCUCUUGGAACUGCGUGGCUGGAGUGCAGGAGGGGCAGGCGGAAUUCCUGGUGUAGCGGUGAAAUGCGUAGAUAUCAGGAGGAACACCGGUGGCGAAGGCGGCCUGCUGGACUGCAACUGACGUUGAGGCCCGAAAGCGUGGGGAGCAAACAGG